rnacentral:rRNA from 1 species
UACGUAGGGUGCGAGCGUUGCCCGGAUUUAUUGGGCGUAAAGAGCUCGUAGGCGGUUCGGUAAGUCGGGUGUGAAACCUCCAGGCUCAACCUGGAGACGCCACCCGAUACUGCUGUGACUAGAGUCCGGUAGGGGAGCGUGGAAUUCCUGGUGUAGCGGUGAAAUGCGCAGAUAUCAGGAGGAACACCAGCGGCGAAGGCGGCGCUCUGGGCCGGAACUGACGCUGAGGAGCGAAAGCGUGGGGGAGCAAACAGG